GCUGGGCAUGGUGGCGCGUGUCUGUAAUCCCAGCUACCCAGGAGGCUGAGGCAGGAGAAUCACUUGAGCCCAGGUGGUGGAGGUUGCAGUGAGCCAAGAUCGUGCCACUGCACUCCAGCCUGGGCGACAGAGUAAGACUCUGUCUUAA
rnacentral:sRNA from 1 species